UACGGGGGGGGCAAGCGUUGUUCGGAAUUACUGGGCGUAAAGGGCUUGUAGGCGGCCAACUAAGUCGGACGUGAAAUCCCCAGGCUCAACCUGGGAACUGCGUCUGAUACUGGAUGGCUUGAAUCCGGGAGAGGGAUGCAGAAUUCCAGGUGUAGCGGUGAAAUGCGUAGAGAUCGGGAAGAACAUCGGUGGCGAAAGCGCUCUACUGGACCGCAACUGACACUCAGGGACGAAAGCUAGGGGAGCGAAUGGG
rnacentral:rRNA from 1 species